rnacentral:rRNA from 1 species
AUUGAACGCUGGCGGCAUGCUUUACACAUGCAAGUCGAACGGUAACAGGUUAAGCUGACGAGUGGCGAACGGGUGAGUAAUGCAUCGGAACGUGCCCGAUCGCGGGGGAUAACGCAGCGAAAGCUGCGCUAAUACCGCAUACGAUCUGAGGAUGAAAGCGGGGGACCGUAAGGCCUCGCGCGAUCGGAGCGGCCGAUGUCAGAUUAGGUAGUUGGUGGGGUAAAGGCUCACCAAGCCAACGAUCUGUAGCUGGUCUGAGAGGACGACCAGCCACACUGGGACUGAGACACGGCCCAGACUCCUACGGGAGGCAGCAGUGGGGAAUUUUGGACAAUGGGCGAAAGCCUGAUUCAGCAAUGCCGCGUGCAGGAAGAAGGCCUUCGGGUUGUAAACUGCUUUUGUACGGAGCGAAAAGGUUCUCUCUAAUACAGAGGGUUCAUGACGGUACCGUAAGAAUAAGCACCGGCUAACUACGUGCCAGCAGCCGCCGUAAAAC